UCAACUUUUCCAUUUUUUUCAUCUUUUUUGAUCGUAUAUGAUGAUAUGUCUUCACAAACUCCUUUGUCUUUCAACCUCCCUGUUUCUCUUCAUCUUCUCUCCCUUUACCAUUCAAAACAAAUUAAUUCUCCAUUAAAUUAAAUAAGUUCUUUUGUUUUACCUUCAAAGGAAAUUCUUACUCCAUAAUUAAUUUAAUUAACUAACAAAUAAUUCCUUUCUUCCGUUGAAAAUUAUUCAUUUCUCAACAAUACACUCAUACCCUCCCCAUUAAUUAUUUGAAACAUUCUCCGGCAAAUUAUUUCAUUGACUCAUUAUGAAAAUAAUUUUAAAAGGUUUGGUGGUUGUGGAGAGCUCCAAUUACAAUUAAUUAUCUAUCAAUAGGAUUUACUAAUGAGAAUAUUGAGCGUUGCGGGAAGAUUCAAUUAGCUAUAAAUAGGUGCAUUAUCGUAAUAUACAUCCAUAUUCUUUGCUUUAUGCUUCCAAGAAAUCCAAUCCCCUUUCAAGUUAUUUUCAGGCAAGUAAUCGAAACUUAAAGAUGGAUGUUUGGUUUUGAACAUCUGUAAUAUGCUGCCAGCUGCUACAACCGGUACUGCGAGGAACGAUGGAAACGAGUAGUAGCGAGGAAUUUCACUUUAAUAUUAUUCACCUAAUUUAUGCUUAAUGUUUUAAUAGUUUAAUUAAAGACUUUUAGUAAGUUAUGUACUUUAAUUUUGGUAAUAUAAAGGAUUAUUAUAUUAAUUUUCGGA